UAGGAGGGACACUCCAUCGCUGCGCAAGCAGAGGAAAGUCCGGACAGGAUAGAGCACCGUACUGUGGAAAGCACAGGUAGGCGUAAGUUUACGGAUCGUGUAACAGAAAAUUACCGCCCUACGGGGUAAGGGUGAAAACGUGAGGCAAGAGCUCACGACUGGUGUUGGCGACAACAUUGGGGUACGCACCUACGGCCUGCAAUGCCAAAUAUACCGACAACUAAGGGUGGCUCGCCCAAUGCCGGGGGGUAGGCAGCACAGAUAAAUGAUGGAGACCAGUUUUCUGGCACAGAAUCCGGCUUAUCGGCCCUCCUUUUUU
rnacentral:RNase_P_RNA from 1 species